rnacentral:misc_RNA from 1 species
CCCUUUGUUGUUAAAACUACCUUGUUGCUUUGGCGGGACCGCUCGGUCUCGAGCCGCUGGGGAUUCGUCCCAGGCGAGCGCCCGCCAGAGUUAAACCAAACUCUUGUUAUUUAACCGGUCGUCUGAGUUAAAAUUUUGAAUAAAUCAAAACUUUCAACAACGGAUCUCUUGGUUCUCGCAUCGAUGAAGAACGCAGCGA